UAUUAAGAACUCGGCGAGAUUUACGAUCAAAUUGCUUAGUUUUAUGGUGUUAGCUAACACUUUAGAGGAAAUUUUAUAGUAUCAUACUUAAGUAAGUACAUGCUCUUGAAGUGCUCUUCAAUAGACGUUGUCGGUGAUCUAAACUCAAACAAUAGCAAUAGGAUAUAUUGUUCGGAAGCAGUUUGUAGAAGAUCCGGUAAAAGGAACAAUUGCCUCUUAAUCAAAACGACUUAACAGCAAUAGAGG